UGUAGGCCAUUUGGUGUUUCGUUAAGUACUAUACUACUUAUUGUCAAGUACUAUAUCAACAAUUGUAUAGAUAUGUAGGGGCCCGUUACGGGUCUAGUCAGCGGGCCUGCCACGGCUCUCUACAGCCCUGUAUGUAGACUCAUUAAUUCAUACCCUACAAAUGAGAAAAAACACUUCUACAAUUUUAAACCAAGUGCAUACGCACUAAAAUACAAAAAUAGGCAAUUUUUUUGUAGGGAUAUGAGGUUGAAAUUUCUUUCAGGAAUGAAAUGUCCAUAUGUUUCUCGUUCACUAGAGUAGAACAACAUUUAGAUAAGAGAACGAGAAAUUCUAAUCCUAGGAGCUCUGUGGAAAAUUCAAGAGUAAAGACGAAAAAGAUGUUGAUGAGCUUCCUAGCUCCAAAAAAUAGAUUGUGGUUUUUGAAAAUCAAGGACAUUAAUUUUUUAGCAGAUUUAGCUGAAAUCGUAUUUAAAAUAAAAAGGUCCACUUCUUAUUCUCAAAUUGUGAACUCUAAAAUGCUUCUGAAUGAUAUAUUUAUUAACAAGCAACAAAAUAUUCAAAUGGCAACCCUCAGAGAACCUUUAAAUUCCAAUUUUCUCAUCUUUUUUUAAAUGAAGAUUUCAAUCUGAAUAUAUUGAUCCUCUCAAAUUUUUAUCAACUAAAAAAACGACAAGUAUAAGUUUUUCUGUCAAAAGCACAAUGUUUAGAAGGUCAAAUUUUGAAUUUGAAUACUGAUAGCUCUGUAGAUUAUUAUAUCUUAUCCAUUAUUGUUAUAUCUUAUCAAUUUUCUUAGAAUUGAAUACAAAUUUCUCUUUUAGCCCUCAAGGCCUCCCUCCCCCUUCGGCUGCCUAUGAUAAUAUUAUCUUCUUUCAAUUAUUUUUCUGGCGCCUAGUCCAAGAGUGAUAAGCUACUUCAUUACAUUCUCGAAUUGCUCUGCUAUGUAAAUACUGUAAUAUUGCUGAUUGACUGACUAAACAAAAAACAUUUUAUGUGUUCCUUCAUUACUUUUUUUCUCCUUUUCAGUAUGGGAGGAAUAGGAAAGAAGAAAUAUAUAAAAAGAGACGUCUCAACAAAAUACGAACUUCAAAAGCAUCUGUGCUUGCUUCAGCAUCAGCCUUUCACUUCUGCAACCUCAAUAACUAAGCACCAGGUGCGUGCAGACUUAUGCACUGUGCGACAAAUGUGCUUUUCUUAACAAGAAUUCGCCAAGUACGAUGAUCGAGAUCAAAGCGUGAGCUUUCCACAUGCUUCAUUGUUGUCGGCGGGAGACUGGCCAGCUUAUUUUGUACAUCUUACAUUACUUGGAAGAACACAUAUUAUUUUGGAGGAUAUUUCUAUAAUUUAUUAUUUAUGGAAUAUUUUGAAUAAAUUGUUUUGCUUAUAUUCUUUGUGAUUUUAAAUGAUGAUAGGAAUUGCUGGUUUUUAUUGCAUUAUUGGAAACAUUAAUAAAUUUGCAAUUUUCAUCACAAAUUCCUUGAAGAAUCACUGAGUGUACUUGCUUUGCUUGCCGGUUUUUUUAUUUGGAUAUGACACCCAUCGAUUGCUGCAAUUAUACCACCGAACCCUCUUGAACGAGCUUUGAAGAUCUGAAAAAAGAUAAUUUCAUUUGUUGGUUUUUUUUUAUUUUUUAUGUAUAAGUUAUAUGAAUGAAAUUCGCUUUAAUUGUGUAGAUUGGAAUAACACAGGUAGAUAGCAUGGACUAAAGGUGUGUUUUCGUAACGGGCAGACGACAGAAUUCACUUUAAAUUAACAUUUGUUCUUAUGGGAGUGUUCACCCAUCGGCAGAAAGUUGAGCAGAAAAAAAGAACUGUUCAAAUCAGAGACGAACUGUCGUUCAUUUCGCCGUUCAUUUUAAGGCCUAUCAUCACAAUGCUAUUUUGCUUCGACCGAUCACUGCUCGUGAACCGUUUUGUCGAAAAAGAACUAAUUUCGGGAUUCUGUCGACGGGAACAGACAGCUUCGAAAUAUUUUUCUGCUCUGAUCACGUGACACCGGCAGAUAAUCUUUCUCUGGAUCAGACGCCAUGUUCUUUUUAACCUCAAUCUUUAAUUUUUGGAUGGUUUGUUUUGAUAUAUUAUUUUGCUGUUGGUUGUCAGAUUUCGGAUUGCUACUAUUAUACUGUGAAAUUAAUUUGUAGUAGAAAAUUGAGGUAUAAAAUAUUUCCAUUGGUUUCUUUAUUUAUAUAAUUUUUACAAGAGAAAUUGAAAAUGGAUUUACAACAGAAAGGCGUGAAAUUCGUUAUAAAUUUGAUGCGACAGUUCAAAGUUUUGUACUUUCCAGACCUGCACAACGAAUUACCUAUUUGAAAAAUAGAAUAUGGUUAAAAAUUGCUGAUGUGAUAGAGGAUUCAAGUACCAUUUACAAACAAAAUAUUGAAGAGAAUGUGCUCGAAAGGAAAUUCAUAUGAAUUCUUUUUUGUUGACCAGGAUGGAAAAAGUCAUUGGAACCCAUAGUUAGAAUAAGAAUAAGUUAGGCCUAGAGGUGUACCAGCCAGAAGUAGAGGAUGACAAAGAAAAUCAACUAUGAAUAAUAUUCCAUGGAUAUGAUUCAUGUAUGAUGUAGUAGCCUACAGAAGAAAGAGAUGGACUAAUCUAAGAAAAUAUAUUCAUUUUUUCA